rnacentral:rRNA from 1 species
CAGCACCUCAAGUGGUCAGGAUGCUUAUUGGGCCUAAAGCAUCCGUAGCCGGCUCUGUAAGUUUUCGGUUAAAUCUGUACGCUCAACGUACAGGCUGCCGGGAAUACUGCAGAGCUAGGGAGUGGGAGAGGUAGACGGUACUCGGUAGGAAGGGGUAAAAUCCUUUGAUCUAUUGAUGACCACCUGUGGCGAAGGCGGUCUACCAGAACACGUCCGACGGUGAGGGAUGAAAGCUGGGGGAGCAAACCGGAUUAGAUACCCGAGUAGUCC